AUAACCCACUUGAGGUAUUCCAUAACCCGCUUGAGGUACUCCAUAGCCAGCUUGAGGUAUUCCAUAACCCGCUUGAGGUACUCCAUAACCCGCUUGAUGUACUCCAUAGCCAGCUUGAGGUACUCCAUAGCCAGCUUGAGGUACUCCAUAGCCACCUGGAGGUACUCCAUAGCCCCCCUGAGGCUGUCUUAACGGUGGAUGACUUACUGGUGGUGUUAUUAUAGGGGACGCAUCAGGUGAACGCCGGGGGAAUUCAACUCCAGAACGCUGCAACAUGUAACAGAAACCUUGAGAAUAAGAAUACCAUGCAAAUGAGCAUCUCAGUAAAAUGCCAUAUAUAUCGAGAUCUGAAUAUACAGUACUUCAAUUUAGA
rnacentral:lncRNA from 1 species